ACUGAGACCCAGGAAAGAUAAGAAUAUUAUAAUCAGUUAGAAUAACAAGAAAAAAACCAAUACAGAUUGCACAAAGAAGUAGAACGAUGCUGAAUGUCACACCCUGUUCAUCGUUCCCAUUAUACUAUGAGAAGUACUCCUGAACAAUCUUGUUCCUGAUCCUUAAUCUCGAACACAUGAUAUGUUAACAGUGAUAAUGACCUUGAAGGCUAGUCUGAUUUCAGGUUCAAAACCAAUUUAAUUAAUUGUUUUGUGGUCUCUAAUGGGUGGUAAUAAAAAUAGUUUAGUUGCUUUUGGGGUGGUUCAUUUAGCAAACAUUUCCAAGAGUUGCAUAUUGUUUAAGAAGCUAUUAUGUGGAUCUUUUGACGGUGUAGUAAGAAGUCUAUUGUGUGAUCUAAUUUGAGGUGUGCUAAAAAUCGUUUGUUUCGUAGUUUAUGUGAUAAUAAUCGAUUAUGAGUGUGUUUUUCAGCUUGACAUGUUUAUGUUUAAUAGUGGAUGGAACGUUAUCUCUAUUCUAGUUUUCAACGCUAAGACUGGUUUCAUUAUUGUUCUUAAAUCAACAUUUACAGCCAAAUUAAUUAGCGUAGGUAUUGUAAAGCAUCUUCGGCCCUAUCCUGUCUAUAAAGGACAUUUCUGCAUUAAGAAAUCUACUCUAGACACACAGAAUAAAUUAUGCUCACGACACUAACUACUGACAAAAUAUGUGAAAUGCACAGAGCUUCUUUACCUCGGUAAGUAACUGGCAUAAGCACAUAAAUAUCAAAUAUUACCAUUUAGAACAAGAUUAACACCAAUAACGAGGUACGAUUAUCUGAAGCUAAAAACUAAAAAGCAUAAUAUUUGCAGAAAGUCAAGACCCUAGGAAUUCGGUCGAGCAUAUGGACGGCUCAGAACAUAAUUAGGUGGUAGUAAAUAUCUUGAAUUCUGCUCGUCAUUGUACACGGGUCAUCGGCAAAGUAGCACAAGUUGCUAAUUUUGAAUAGGUCGCAUUAUUAUGUGGGGCAGUAGAAAGGUGAUGCAAUGACGAAUUAAUUUGUGGUUCAGAUAAGAACAAUAAGAUUAAUUUAAAAAAUGUGUUAUGAUAAAGUUAUAUAGAAUCACUGUAAAUAUUUAAAGUAUUACCUAUAUAGCCUUGUAAAUUUACAUUUGAAAACGCAACACGGCUUAGAUACUCAUACUCAUUUUUGAUUAAUAAGAAAUACCUACUACAUUUAUAACAGUUAUUGAAUAUCAAUUAGUUUAAUUUAACACGUAAGACGUAUGUACCUACAAAGCAUUGAGAUGGUAGUAUAUUGGAUUGAUCAGAUACGUAAUUUAUAUUCCAAUAUCAUUAUGGUUUCAGUAGCUUCAAUCUUGCUUCUGAUGAAAUUGUUAAAAUAACAAUGAUUAUAGUUGUAUCGAGGGUUGUAUGCAUAAAUUGUUGAUCAAUCCCUUCGUGUCAUGCCAAAAUACAAUGUACUUGGUUAUCUAUAAAAAAUCUGCAAUAUCGAGGUCAAACACUGGCAAUAAUUUUGUAUUUGUUCUUAUUUGGGACAAGCAGCUUUAGAGGCCAUCCAAAGGCCACAGUGACAAAAAAACAACACCCCAAUUGGACUGAAAUAGCCCUCUUUAAGGUUUAGCCUAGAUUUAAACAUGUUAAAUCAGAUGGUAUUUAAUGCGUUUUAUAGCGGGACAUUUUUUUGGUAACAAAGUAAAAUCAAUUCUGCGAAGGAAACGACAUGAAGUACUUACCGUUUAAAAUCCCUCAUCAGUCGGCGACGUGCUGGUGUGGACAUGUUGCUUCUUUUUUAACAGAUGAAUUAAUUUGAUAAACUAUCUAUAAUUGUUAUAACAGCGCUAAUAAUCUAAUAAACACAACAAAUUUAUUCUAUUUUUAUAUUAAUGGAUGCCUGAAUCACACAAUAGAACUUGUACUUGAAUGACAUAUGAAAUAGACAACCAGGGCCUGUUCACUCUCGUGUAAUGACAGUUCUGUGUUAAUAUAGUUUACUCAGACCAUGAGCGCGCUGUUAUCGCGCCUCUCAGCUGAUCUCAGCUGAUCGAAGAAGUUAUUUUCAGGCUUGCCAGGUCUACCGUUUUUACGGUGGGUCUCCCAUUUUCAUGAGAGCUGCUGCUCUACCGCUAAGCCAUAAGGACCUACUGCUAAACGUUACGUUAAACACUUUAAAUAUAACUAUUAUAUAUUACACUAUUUGUCAACAAACCAGCUACAUUGCACUGCGAUUGGCGAUUGGAUUACCUGUUUUUUUUCAUUUUUCGUUUCCUAAAGCACGCCUCGGAACUACGCUAACACACUCUUGGCUGAAGACCACUUAAAAAGUUCGAAACGCUCAAAUUUACAAACAUUCAAUUAUUUCCCGUUUUGUUUUUAAAUCUAUUUUAUAACUAUCUAUCUAAUCUAUGUUUUUUAUGUCUAUUCUACCGCAUUCGUAGUCGCUACCUGGCAACACUGGUCAUGUUGUGAAAAUUUUAACCAUAUUUUUCCAAUAACAAAACAAAAUGGUUACUUAAGUGAUUCUAAUUUGCUUCACAGGAAUUCACAAUGCACAGAUGUUUCGUCGGCUUUUAUAUUUGGUGCUUUUUACAACCUUGUCUUUUUCAUUAUCGGUUUUCCAUUAGCGAUAGGAAAUAUUUCUUCGAUCGAUCAUAUUUGAUGGUCAUACUCGGGAGUCAUAGAUAAAGACAAGCCCGGAGUAUAGAUUAUGAGUGAAGUAUGUCAGUGCUUAUUUUAACAAAUAUCUUAAAUGGAACAUAAGUGUGGAUGUUAUUGUUAAUAAGGCAAAAAGGCACUUUUUGCCUUAUUAACUUACUUACUUUUAAGAUGCAUCUCAUUUAGAUUUCGAAGCAGCCUUCUUGAAACCAGUUAACCAAAAAACGCUCAACCAAUAAGCUGAAUGUAGUUUAAUGCGGAGGCCUUUAUAUUUGCCUGCUUUACAGGAGAUCCACCCCUAGAGCAGCAUUCUUGGCUGCGGCUAUGGUGAAGUUGGAGCAGAAAAGGAAAGUUGCAGCUGUAAAAACUAUGGAUAUUAAAAUUUGAAGAUGAAAAUCCGGUUUGCCGAAAUGUUCUUUGUUACACGUAUGUACCAAUGCUCUUAUUUAUAUGAGCAUCUAAUUUAUUUAAAGAUAAAUAGGUAGCACCUUUUAAGAAAGGUUAUCGUUAACUGAUGAUUAUGUUGUCAUCAUCAAUUGUAAUUGCAAUUGAACUGCUAUAAAGAUGUUCAGCCGAUUAUUGAUACCUUGCUUUAUAACGAUGACAAAUGUCCGCCAAAAACCAUUAUUAAAUAACGAUUUUAUUUAUUAUAACUUAUAUUUUCCAAUGUGUAAUGUAUGUAACAAGUGUACAAAAUAUCAAUACGUAUUUAUCCAAUUGC